rnacentral:rRNA from 2 species
AAAUUGAAGAGUUUGAUCAUGGCUCAGAUUGAACGCUGGCGGCAGGCCUAACACAUGCAAGUCGAACGGUAGCA